ACACCGCCGAGACUCAGGACGACAUGGACGACGAUGUUUCAGGAACGACACCCGUUGAGAGUGAUGCAGAGACUGAGAUCGAGGUUGUCGAGACAGAGAUCGAGACCGACGGUGAAACGGAGGUUCAAAUCGCUGACAGCCC
rnacentral:ribozyme from 11 species